AGCGAACGCUGGCGGCAGGCCUAACACAUGCAAGUCGAACGAACCUUUCGGGGUUAGUGGCGGACGGGUGAGUAACGCGUGGGAACGUGCCUUUAGGUUCGGAAUAACUCAGGGAAACUUGUGCUAAUACCGAAUGUGCCCUUCGGGGGAAAGAUUAAUCGCCUUUAGAGCGGCCCGCGUCUGAUUAGCUAGUUGGUUGAGGUAAUGGCUCACCAAGGCGACGAUCAGUAGCUGGUCUGAGAGGAUGAUCAGCCACAUUGGGACUGAGACACGGCCCAAACUCCUACGGGAGGCAGCAGUGGGGAAUCUUGCGCAAUGGGCGAAAGCCUGACGCAGCCAUGCCGCGUGAAUGAUGAAGGUCUUAGGAUUGUAAAAUUCUUUCACCGCGGACGAUAAUGACGGUACCCGGAGAAGAAGCCCCGGCUAACUUCGUG
rnacentral:rRNA from 1 species